rnacentral:rRNA from 1 species
AGGAAUAUUGGUCAAUGGGCGAGAGCCUGAACCAGCCAAGUAGCGUGAAGGAUGACUGCCCUAUGGGUUGUAAACUUCUUUUAUAAAGGAAUAAAGUCGGGUAUGCAUACCCGUUUGCAUGUACUUUAUGAAUAAGGAUCGGCUAACUCCGUGCCAGCAGCCGCGGUAAUACGGAGGAUCCGAGCGUUAUCCGGAUUUAUUGGGUUUAAAGGGAGCGUAGAUGGAUGUUUAAGUCAGUUGUGAAAGUUUGCGGCUCAACCGUAAAAUUGCAGUUGAUACUGGUAGUCUUGAGUGCAGCAGAGGUAGGCGGAAUUCGUGGUGUAGCGGUGAAAUGCUUAGAUAUCACGAAGAACUCCGAUUGCGAAGGCAGCUUACUGGACUGUAACUGACGCUGAUGCUCGAAAGUGUGGGUAUCAAACAGGAUUAGAUACCCUGGUAGUCCACACAGUAAACGAUGAAUACUCGCUGUUUGCGAUAUACAGCAAGCGGCCAAGCGAAAGCAUUAAGUAUUCCACCUGGGGAGUACGCCGGCAACGGUGAAACUCAAAGGAAUUGACGGGGGCCCGCACAAGCGGAGGAACAUGUGGUUUAAUUCGAUGAUACGCGAGGAACCUUACCCGGGCUUAAAUUGCAACUGACGGAUUUGGAAACAGAUCUUCCUUCGGGCAGUUGUGAAGGUGCUGCAUGGUUGUCGUCAGCUCGUGCCGUGAGGUGUCGGCUUAAGUGCCAUAACGAGCGCAACCCUUAUCUUUAGUUACUAACAGGUCAUGCUGAGGACUCUAGAGAGACUGCCGUCGUAAGAUGUGAGGAAGGUGGGGAUGACGUCAAAUCAGCACGGCCCUUACGUCCGGGGCUACACACGUGCUACAAUGGGGGGUACAGAAGGCAGCUACACAGCGAUGUGAUGCUAAUCCCAAAAGCCUCUCUCAGUUCGGAUUGGAGUCUGCAACCCGACUCCAUGAAGCUGGAUUCGCUAGUAAUCGCGCAUCAGCCACGGCGCGGUGAAUACGUUCCCG